CUACGGGACGCUCCAGUGGGGAAUAUUGGACAAUGGGGGCAACCCUGAUCCAGCCAUGCCGCGUGUGUGAAGAAGGCCUUUUGGUUGUAAAGCACUUUAAGCGAGGAGGAGGCUACUGGUACUAAUAUUACCAGCUAGUGGACGUUACUCGCAGAAUAAGCACCGGCUAACUCUGUGCCAGCAGCCGCGGUAAUACAGAGGGUGCGAGCGUUAAUCGGAAUUACUGGGCGUAAAGCGCGCGUAGGCGGCUUGUUAAGUCGGAUGUGAAAUCCCCGGGCUCAACCUGGGAAUUGCAUUCGAUACUGGCAAGCUAGAGUAUGGGAGAGGAAGGUAGAAUUCCAGGUGUAGCGGUGAAAUGCGUAGAGAUCUGGAGGAAUACCGAUGGCGAAGGCAGCCUUCUGGCCUAAUACUGACGCUGAGGUGCGAAAGCAUGGGGAGCAAACAGGAUUAGAUACCCUCGUAGUC
rnacentral:rRNA from 1 species